rnacentral:tRNA from 1 species
UGGCUUAGAUGGUAAAGCAUCUGUCUACAAUAUGGGAGACCCAGGUUCAAUCCCUGG